GCGUCGGUUGGCUCCGAGGUUAGAGCAUAGGUGCCGUAACCGUAAGGUCGCGGGUUCGAAACCCGCUAGAGGCU
rnacentral:tRNA from 1 species